rnacentral:rRNA from 1 species
AAGUGGCGAACGGGUGAGUAAUACAUAAGCAACCUACCCACGAAGACUGGGAUAAUCUCUGGAAACGGGGACUAAUACCGGAUAGGUAAUCGGAAGGCAUCUUCUGAUUAUUAAAGGUUAAAAAACACUGGUGGAUGGGCUUAUGGCGCAUUAGUUAGUUGGUGAGGUAACGGCCCACCAAGACGAUGAUGCGUAGCCGGCCUGAGAGGGUGAACGGCCACAUUGGGACUGAGACACGGCCCAG